rnacentral:rRNA from 1 species
UACAGAGGGUGCGAGCGUUAAUCGGAAUUACUGGGCGUAAAGCGUGCGUAGACGGUCAUUUAAGUCGGAUGUGAAAGCCCCGGGCUCAACCUGGGAACUGCAUUCGAGACUGCAUUGCUCGAGUAUGGGAGAGGGAAGUGGAAUUUCCGGUGUAGCGGUGAAAUGCGUAGAUAUCGGAAGGAACAUCAGUGGCGAAAGCGACUUCCUGGACCAAUACUGACACUCAAGUGCGAAAGCGUGGGGAGCAAACAGG